rnacentral:rRNA from 1 species
UACGUAGGGUGCAAGCGUUAAUCGGGAUUACUGGGCGUAAAGCGUGCGCAGGCGGCUUUGCAAGACAGAUGUGAAAUCCCCGGGCUCAACCUGGGAACUGCAUUUGUGACUGCAUGGCUAGAGUACGGUAGAGGGGGAUAGAAUUCCGCGUGUAGCAGUGAAAUGCGUAGAUAUGCGGAGGAACACCGAUGGCGAAGGCAAUCCCCUGGACCUGUACUGACGCUCAUGCACGAAAGCGUGGGGAGCAAACAGG